GAUGUGUGAGAGUACUGGAACCCGUUGGCACUAAUUGGUCUCUUAUAGGUCUCUAUCACUUUACCUGAACAUUAAGGACCCCAUGCCCCUCUUUUCCUGAGACCAACAGGAGAACAUGCCCAGUGGCACAAAACUCGACAUGCUGCAGAGGGAAAAUCUCUAUAUUUCACCAGACAAUCCCAACAAUCUAAGAAGGACUGGAGAGACAACUUUUUUUUACUGGUGCCCUUGAGUUUGCAACAUGCAUUUACAACAAAUUCACAUCUGCUUUCAAAUAACACCAUACUACUUCACAGCUUCCCUAACUGUGGAAAAAAAUAAAUGAUCUCAAUAUGAUGAAACAUAAUGUAUAAACCUGCAACCUGCAAUUGUUCCGGCUACCAUUCAAGUACAAAUAAUCGCUUGGCUGGAAUUUGGAAGAGAGGUCAAGGUGGCCUACCUCAAAUUUGCUUUAAAUUGAGAACAGAAUUAAAAGAUUCUUUUGUGUGUC
rnacentral:lncRNA from 1 species